rnacentral:rRNA from 1 species
GAUGAACGCUGGCGGCGUGCCUAAUACAUGCAAGUCGAGCGAACAGACGAGGAGCUUGCUCCUCUGACGUUAGCGGCGGACGGGUGAGUAACACGUGGAUAACCUACCUAUAAGACUGGGAUAACUUCGGGAAACCGGAGCUAAUACCGGAUAAUAUAUUGAACCGCAUGGUUCAAUAGUGAAAGACGGUUUUGCUGUCACUUAUAGAUGGAUCCGCGCCGCAUUAGCUAGUUGGUAAGGUAAAGGCUUACCAAGGCAACGAUGCGUAGCCGACCUGAGAGGGUGAUAGGCCACCCUGGAACUGAGCCACGGUCAAGACUCCUACGGGAGGCAGCAGUAGGGAAUCUUCCGCAAUGGGCGAAAGCCUGACGGAGCAACGCCGCGUGAGUGAUGAAGGUCUUCGGAUCGUAAAACUCUGUUAUUAGGGAAGAACAAAUGUGUAAGUAACUAUGCACGUCUUGACGGUACCUAAUCAGAAAGCCACGGCUAACUACGUG